rnacentral:lncRNA from 1 species
GGAUAUGAAAGUAGAGAUGGCUGUUUCUGUAUCUGCGUGAAGAUAUUGUACCAGUAUUCAGUUCUCACAAUAAUGGGAGUGUCUUACUGGAUGUGCUACUCUACCAAUAUAUGUGAAGAAUUAAAAGCCUCAACCAAACAGCCCUGCAGCUUGGAUUGAACUGAAAGUAAAUACUCUGAACCUGGCUAUUAACUCAUUUUCUUCUGUUGUAAGGUCAGUGAAACACUGCUUAGUUUUUUUGUUUGUUUUGUUGGGGUUUUUUUUGUAUUAGAGAUAGAAGUAUAAAGUCAAGUGUGCAGAUGAGGGAGAGGAAAGCUCACAGUAAAAGUUAAAAUUUAGAAUUUAAAGGAUAAACUGCUUUAUGUAUUUGUUAUCUUCAGGGCCAGCUCUUUAGCAGGUAAAGGACAAUAGAAUUGCUUUUGCAUACUGUAGGAAUCGAGUUAGUAACUACUUACUGCUUAGGAUGUUCA